UUCACACCGCCAUUGUUUAUUCAUCGGAAAAGAUAACUUUCACGAUACAAAUAAGAAUCUAAAACAUUGUUUGGAUCUUCACAAAUAGAUCUACAAAGAAUAGAUGCAGAUCUUAUGUUUAUAUCUCUAUCAACUCUUUUCUAAUUCAUUCAAACCGAUAAGAAAAACAGCGUCGUGUUUAUUAUGUUUAUAUGCUUGAAAUGCAGUGCAAAUUUUUGCUAGGGACGCAGCACCGGUGGUUGAUGACACAUACCUCGAAGGUAACAUAGCCAAUGUAACAUAGAGCUCUACGUUUGCAAAUAAUGAGUCUUAUCCAAUUGUGAAUAUCCAUGUAUUAACUUGGAUUGCUAAAACAUGAAUAGGUGGAGACAGAGCAAGGUUGGUCUUGCUGGAUGUGGAUUACGAGGGGAAUGA
rnacentral:lncRNA from 1 species